GUCUGCAGCCAUACCACCCUGAACAAGCCCAAUCUUGACUGAUCUCAGAAGCUAAGCAGGGUUGGGACUGGUUAGUACUUGGAUGGGAGACCACCUAGGAAGACCAGGUGCUGUAGAUG
rnacentral:rRNA from 1 species